CCUGCAGGUAAAAAGACCAACUACGGGUUUCUGUGUCUUUCUUUAUUUAACGGUGGUCCGAACCUAACACCGGCUUACUGCUUGCGUACGAUUUUCCUGUCUUGCAGGAUAAAACUGAAAUGCCGGUGUCCCUCUGGAGGGAGGCAGCACUCAUGGACAUUGUAGGGACUGUAGGGACCAUCCUGUCCAUUGCCUCAGAGGUCUACACUCUGGUUCAAAAUGUGAAGGCCAAUAAGAAGCGCUGCCGGCGCAUAUCUGACCGAGUCAGAGCUGUGGAGGAGCUGGUGAAGACCAUUAAACAGCCCUCCCCAGAGGUAGAAAAAGCCCUCUGGGAGGUGUCUCUCGCUCUGCAGAGAAAGAAGAUGAGCUGGACUGGAAGGAGGACACCGAAGAGCUGAUACAAUUGCUCCUGGACCACUUGAAGACUCAGGAAGAGAAAACUAAUGCCAUGAUGACAGAGUUUGAACAUCUUCGAGUCAGCGUGGAAAAGGCCGUGGAGUUGUGAUUGUCUGAAUUCAGCCACAUUGCAGGAUUUCCCAGCAUGAGCCGACUGUUGAAGCCUUUAACGCCAGGCGAUCACUGCUGAACCGCCGGUUCCCUGCCUUUACUAGCCGCGAACAGCUGGUUAAGAUGUAGCAUAUCAGCGCUGAGUCAGUCAAUCAAAGGAAUGGCUCAAACUAAAUGAAGGAAAUUCAUGCUCUGAAGCU